AGAGAUUUCUAGUUUUAAUUGUCUAUUUGUUCAAUGCAUCAUACAUCAUGAACUAAAACAAACACACACAAACUGUGCAAUACACAUUACUAAUUGUUUAAGUACCAAUAGAUCACUUCUUUUUCUUUAGCUCUAUUGAUUGCAUAAACAACGCAUGUUUCUGAUGUUUUUGUUUUAGUGGAUUUGAAUGUUUGCUAUCAUCAACAAAAAACUUUUUAUGUUAAUUUUGAAAACACAUUAAACAAGUGACUAAAACAUGUGACUGAAUCGGAAACAUCACAAAGGAACAAAUAAGAAUAUAACAAAAACAAAUUUGUGAAAAAAAAAAAAAGCCAGAGCAGAUACCUGGCGAAGAGAAAUAAUGAGUCACAAUUCCAUGCAACUGAACUUCUUCAACCAUUCCUGACAAAUGUUGGCAAUACUGACAGGGGGGGGGAUUAACUUACAUUAAAAAAAAAAAAAGAGUAAAAAAGUCACUGGUCACAAUACAAGGACAAUUGAUGACCAGUGGUAAAAUUUGAACAGAUUCUUCUCAUUAAAAAAUCAAACCCAAUGUUUUCAAAAAAACAUUGGGUUUAGAAGACUGGCUUUAAAGAGAGUCAACAAUCUUCACUUCAAACAGGACCACACUAACGGCAGCAAAAAAAAAAAAAAAAAAAAAAAAAAC